rnacentral:rRNA from 1 species
AUACGUAGGGUGCAAGCGUUGUUCGGAAUCACUGGGCGUAAAGUGUAUGUAGGCGGCAAUUUAAGUCCGACGUGAAAGCCCCAGGCUCAACCUGGGAAAUGCAUUGGAAACUGAAUUGCUAGAGUUCGGUAGGGGAAAGUGGAAUUCCUGGUGUAGAGGUGAAAUUCGUAGAUAUCAGGAGGAAUACCAGUGGCGAAGGCGACUUUCUGGACCGAUACUGACGCUGAGAUACGAAAGCGUGGGGAGCAAACAGGAUUAGAAACCCCGGUAGUCC